rnacentral:rRNA from 1 species
UACGUAGGGUGCAAGCGUUAAUCGGAAUUACUGGGCGUAAAGCGUGCGCAGGCGGUUUUGUAAGUCUGUCGUGAAAUCCCCGGGCUUAACCUGGGAAUGGCGAUGGAGACUGCAAGGCUAGAGUUUGGCAGAGGGGGGUAGAAUUCCACGUGUAGCAGUGGAAUGCGUAGAGAUGUGGAGGAACACCGAUGGCGAAGGCAGCCCCCUGGGUCAAAACUGACGCUCAUGCACGAAAGCGUGGGGAGCAAACAGG